rnacentral:rRNA from 1 species
CAGCAGCCGCGGUAAUACGUAGGUGGCAAGCGUUGUCCGGAAUUAUUGGGCGUAAAGGGCUCGCAGACGGUUUCUUAAGUCUGAUGUGAAAGCCCCCGGCUCAACCGGGGAGGGUCAUUGGAAACUGGGAAACUUGAGUGCAGAAGAGGAGAGUGGAAUUCCACGUGUAGCGGUGAAAUGCGUAGAGAUGUGGAGGAACACCAGUGGCGAAGGCGACCCUCUGGUCUGUAACUGACGCUGAGGAGCGAAAGCGUGGGGAGCGAACAGGAUUAGAUACCCCUGUAGUCCCUGUCUCUUAUAC